rnacentral:rRNA from 1 species
UGGGGAAUAUUGCGCAAUGGGGGAAACCCUGACGCAGCCAUGCCGCGUGUGUGAAGAAGGCUUUCGGGUUGUAAAGCACUUUCACUAGCGAGAAAAAGCUGAUGGUUAAUACCCAUCAGUGUUGAUAUUAACUAGAGAAGAAGCACCGGCUAACUCCGUGCCAGCAGCCGCGGUAAUACGGAGGGUGCGAGCGUUAAUCGGAAUUACUGGGCGUAAAGCGCACGUAGGCGGUUUGCUAAGUCGGAUGUGAAAGCCCCGGGCUCAACCUGGGAACUGCAUUCGAUACUGGUCGACUAGAGUACGAGAGAGGGAGGUAGAAUUCCAUGUGUAGCGGUGAAAUGCGUAGAUAUGUGGAGGAAUACCGGUGGCGAAGGCGGCCUCCUGGCUCGAUACUGACGCUGAAGAGCGAAAGCGUGGGGAGCAAACAGGAUUAGAUACCCCCGUAGUCC